rnacentral:rRNA from 1 species
UACGGGGGGAGCAAGGCGUUGUUCGGAUUUACUGGGCGUAAAGGGCGCGUAGGCGGUCAGCACAAGUCAGUUGUGAAAUCUCCGGGCUUAACUCGGAAAGGUCAACUGAUACUGUGCGACUAGAGUGCGGAAGGGGCAACUGGAAUUCUCGGUGUAGCGGUGAAAUGCGUAGAUAUCGAGAGGAACACCUGCGGCGAAGGCGGGUUGCUGGGCCGACACUGACGCUGAUGCGCGAAAGCCAGGGGAGCGAACGGG